CUGUUGUUCUCGGGGCCGGCCCGUGGCUGGUGGCGCAGCGCCCCCCAGCGGCCGCGCCCGGCUCGCCCUGAGGGCCUCGGGGAGCUUCCGGCCAUGAGAACAACAGCGUGCGGCCUCCGCACCGCAACCAGCGCGUCAAAUAUCCGAACGGGAUGUUUUCGGGCUGGCUUCUACAAAGAAGGAUGUCACAGAAAAAGUGAAAACUUACUUAGAAGAUAAUGCUGCACCUUGUUGAAGAGUUUCUGCAAGCUUUAUAGUUCCUUUGAAAAUACAAGUUUCCAUUGAAAAUGUUUAAAGUAAAACAAAAUUUAUCCACUUCUCUUCAAAUCCAUCAAGGAAAAAAAUGCCGGUAUACUCAUUAAGACAACUGUACCUGUUUAAUAUUUUCAUAUAUUGAAUUAAAUAUUAAAGAUUAAACACACAUACAGAAGUCAUGCAUAUUUGUAUAGAGGCCCAUAGAUGAAGAAGAGGGGGAGGGUGCA
rnacentral:lncRNA from 1 species